CGCCUCCGAACUGCUGUGCAGGGACCUGCGUGUAGCAGGCAUCUGGGGGCACCUACCUGUGAGUGUGCACACUGUGCUAGGGGUGUGUGUGUGUGUGUGUGUGUGUGUGUGCCUGCGUGCAUGUGUGACAAGCAGCCCUCCCUCUGGGCCUGGCUGCUGGCCCCUGAACCCUGCGAACCAAUCUCUAACAACAAUCAUAGUAACAAUAAAUAAUAAAGAACAAUAAAACAGUAGUUAACAGUCCCUCCCUAGCAGGAUAACAAUAAAAUGCAAGAGGAGAUAUUCUGAGGAGGGGCCAGGGGUAGGAGUCAGGAUCACAGCAUCUGAGGGAAGACAAGGGAGGAAGGAAGAAAGUUAGCUUCUUCCUAUGCCCCUGGGGGGCUGGGUUUGGGAACCCCCCUCUCCAGACAAGGUCCUCCGGCCAGAGGAGGAUAGGGAGAGCCGGGAGGCCGCUCUUUCCUGCUUCUUUUUCUCCGGCUUUUGCUUUGUGCCAUCGGGGAGGGAUCCCACAUAUGGGGGUGAUUAGUGGCUUUGGGGAGUCUCUGAAGCCCCUGUUUUAAAGAGGAGGGCAAGCAAACAGGGUCAGGCGGGAGGAGGGGGCAGAGAUGGAUGAGGCGAUGGCCAGAGCCGGGGUCCUGGCCAUUCGGGCAACAGAGGUGCCCGGGAGGACGCAACGCCGGGUAUGGACGGAAGCAGACAAACAUUUAUGGCUGCCCGAGAGAGGGGAGAGCAAGGCCGAGUUUCCGGUAGGCCCAGGGAAAGUUCCCUUCCUAGGGGAUUUUCAAACACACAAACAAACAAAAACAACAAGGACAACAAAAAAAAAAAAAAAAAAAAGGAGAAGAAGAAGGGAGGGGUUGAGGCGCGCUGAAUUUUCCUUCGCGGGCUUGGAGCGAGCAGAUCGCCAUAAAGGAAGAGAGGACCACGAUCCCGGAUCCUUCCACGUCCGCCUCAUUCUCUCCAGCCGGUGACCCAUCUGGUCUGAAAGGGACGGAGAACUACACUUUCCACUGAGUCACUUCUUUAAGACCGGUGCACACACAAAGAUUCAAAAGGGAACCCCGGGCAGCCUUGCAUUUGAACACCACACGAGGAAGGGGGAGCACUGUGAUAACCAGUCGGACAAAAUACUAAUAAAAUACAAUACACCCGGUCGGAGCGCUGCGCGCAGGGCGAGCGGCGAGAGCCCAGAUCUCGGGUUCCAGGCGGCCGCCGUGCGAGGCCGCUGCCCCGGGCGAUGGGGCGCCGGGCGGGCCGGCUCGGUCUCGGCCUCCCCAACCGGCCCGCAGCCCCCUUCUCCCGGGCCUCCGCGCCCCUCCUGCCUCGCCGCGCUCGGAUGUCUGGCCGGGCUUCCCCGGUGCGAGGAUUUGGGGCCUAAGAAGGGGCAAAGUGACUCAAGCCGGACUCUCCAUUU